rnacentral:misc_RNA from 1 species
GUGUGAUGCCCCUCUUGUUUCAGUUGACUUCCGAUGCUCUGACGUUUCAUCCACCAUCGACUCCUCCUUGACCAUGGUCAUGGGAGAUGAUAUGGUCAAGGUCGUUGCUUGGUAUGACAACGAGUGGGGAUACAGCCAAAGAGUUGUGGACUUGGCUCAUCUAGUAGCAAGCAAAUGGCCAGGUGUUGCAGCACCAGGAAGUGGAGACCCAUUGGAUGAGUUCUGUGAGACAAAUCCUUCUGAUGAGGAAUGCAAAGUCUAUGAAUAAGACAUUUUUGUUAUAAUUUGAGAACAACAGUAGUUUUGUUAUCUACAUGUUUGAUGUGUAAAACUGAGUGGGAAGUCCCAUUAGCUUAAGAAAAUAAUAUCACACUCGUAUGAAUUCU